AUGUCACCAAAGUUCAUUAAUGAUGCUGACCUUUCUCCUCCCUCAGUAGGUCCAGUCCUCCCAACCCUGAUGCUGCUUUCCCUCUCCUUUGAGGAGGAGCAAGAUGGGAAGAGGUUGUUGUGUUCAGAGUCAGAGAGCCGUGUCUCUCUACAGUCAGAGGUUUUUGUACGACGACUCAAUCAGUUUGUAUCACUGUGGUACACGUUCGGUGGAGGAACCAGACUGGAUGUUGGAAGUGAUACUCGUCCCACCCUGACAGUGCUGCCCCCCUCCAGUGAAGAGCUGCAGCAGGGGAAGGCCACCCUCAUGUGUCUGGCCAACAAGGGCUUCCCUUCAGACUGGAGUUUGUCCUGGAAGGUGGACGGCAGCAGCAGCAGCAGCAGCAGCAGCAGCAGCUGGGAGCAGAGCAGGAGCCCCGGGUUGCUGCAGAAGGACGGCCUCUACAGCUGGAGCAGCACCCUGAGGCUCCCUGCAGACCAGUGGAGGAAGGUGGGCUCUGUGACCUGUGAGGCCACCCAGGGCUCCCAGACUGCAGUCACAGAGUCCCUGAGGAGAGACCAGUGUUCCCAGUCCUGA